rnacentral:tRNA from 1 species
AGCAGCAUGGCGCAGUGGCAGCGCGCGGGGCCCAUAACCCCGAGGUCACUUGAUCGAAACAAGUUGCUGCUA